rnacentral:sRNA from 1 species
CGGCCUCCUCGCGUCUUAAAACUCCUGAGCUCUAGGAAGUGGAACUGUUAGCCCUCCGUUUAUUGCCUUACUUCACACUGAAAUAAGCCAACGUUUAUUUUAUUUUAUUUAUUUUAUUAUUUAUUUAUUUUUUAUUUUUUUUCGAGACGGAGUCUCGCUCUGUCCCAGGCCUGAGUGCCGUGGCGGGAUCUCGGCUCACUGCAACCUCCGCCUCCGUCUUCAAGCUGUUUUCCUACCUCAGCCUCCCGAGUAGCUGGGAUUACAGGUGCCCGCCACCACGCCCGGCUAAUUUUUGUAUUUUUAGUAGAGAUAGGGGUUCACCAUGUUGGCCAGGCUGGUCUCGAACUUCUGACCUCGUGAUCCUCCCGCCUUAGCCUCCCAAAGUGCUGGGAUUACAGGCGUGAGCCACCACGCCCAGCCCCCAACGUUCAUUUUUAAGCCUGUCAUAUCUCACAUUAAAUGUGUAAGUCUCUGAACUGUAGGGCUUUAAACAAAGGAAAGUUCCAUGAGAAUACUAUAUGAUGCCAAUUUCUACUGUUAGGAACGCAACAACAGAGUGCAGUGGGGGAGAAAAUACGGUCCUCAAUAUCUGAGAAACUGGAGAGGAAAAGUCACAGGACCACCAACUUCUCUAUGACAUAGCUGAGCAUCUGAGAAAAGUCCUGCAAUAGUGGAGGUGGAGCAGAGGGUAUGAGCUGGGAAACAAAUGGAGCAGGAGCUGGAGGCUGCCCCGUCCACUCCAAGCCAGAGAACAAGCAGAGGCUGCCACAGGAGAUCCUGGGCAAGUAAUCAGCCACAGCAUCUAGAUUAGCAUGAAGGAAACGCUGGCCAAAUUAAAAGAUGAAACUUCCAAAAGGUAAAUCUCUGUGUAUUCAUGCCUAAUCUUCCAAGGU